rnacentral:lncRNA from 1 species
GAAAAAUAGCGAAUUAUUUUGAUUUUAUAAUAUAUUUAAGCAUAACUCCAUCAAAUGACGUAAAAUGUCAUAACUUUUACAAUUACAAAUACCCACACAAGCAAAAGAAGCAUAAAACUAACUAGAUUGGAUUGGAUUUGAUUUGAUUAGAUUCUAACAAGAAAAUCCGCCAAUUGAUCCAUUCAUGUCAGUUUUGAAAAUUAGGGAUCUAAUCCAAUCCGCCAAAUCAUCGAAACCAAUUAAAAUUCGAUUGGAUUGAAUUGGAUCGGAUCUUGCAUACCCCUACCCCUUCCCCAUCCUGGAUCUCUAGGACCCUGAUAUAUCCCCCACACCCAAAUAUCCCAGAACCAACCUCCCAAGCGCCCAAAAUGAAGAGCACAAUGAGAAAAGUAACUUUUAUACCAAGGUCAACUUGAGAUGAAGUGGGGAAACGGCCAGAAAGCACCUCCAAAGAACCUGUGGUGGUGCAACAACUGCACGGCAUCGAUUCAUCACGAGUGGUGGUCUGAUGAUGGAUCUGAUCCCAGGGGUAGGUGCGCGCUGUCUAGAGGAACAAAACCCAAUUGGUCCAAUCAGCGAUCGUGCUCAGAAAUGUCGUGAAAUUUCAGGUCAAGUCAUCGCUAGUGUCGAGUUGGGAGUUGGGUUAUCUGGUAUGGGCGGAACUAAAUAAAACAUUUGGGUUUUGG